rnacentral:rRNA from 1 species
GACGAACGCUGGCGGCGUGCUUAACACAUGCAAGUCGAACGAUGACGACCGAGCUUGCUCGGUCUGAUUAGUGGCGAACGGGUGAGUAACACGUGAGCAACCUGCCCUUCACUCUGGGAUAACCUCGGGAAAUCGGGGCUAAUACCGGAUAUGAGCUCCUGUCGCAUGGCGGGUGUUGGAAAGUUUUUCGGUGAAGGAUGGGCUCGCGGCCUAUCAGUUUGUUGGUGAGGUAGUGGCUCACCAAGGCGAUGACGGGUAGCCGGCCUGAGAGGGCGACCGGCCACACUGGGACUGAGACACGGCCCAGACUCCCACGGGAGGCAGCAGUGGGGAAUAUUGCACAAUGGGCGAAAGCCUGAUGCAGCGACGCCGCGUGAGGGAUGACGGCCUUCGGGUUGUAAACCUCUUUCAGCAGGGAAGAAGCGAAAGUGACGGUACCUGCAGAAGAAGCGCCGGCUAACUACGUG